CCUACGGGGGGCAGCAGUGGGGAAUCUUGCGCAAUGGGCGAAAGCCUGACGCAGCGACGCCGCGUGAGCGAUGAAGGCCUUCGGGUUGUAAAGCUCUGUGGGGAGAGAAGAAUAAGGGUUGGCUAACAUCCAACCUGAUGACGGUAUCUCCUUAGCAAGCACCGGCUAACUCUGUGCCAGCAGCCGCGGUAAGACAGAGGGUGCAAACGUUGUUGUGAAGCGCUGGGAGGGGAGCUGGUGUGUGCGGUGUGAAAUCCCACGGCUCAACCAUGGAAGUGCAUUCGAAACUGCCAGACUAGAGUCCUGGAGAGGAAGGCGGAAUACUCGGUGUAGAGGUGAAAUUCGUAGAUAUCGAGUGGAACACCGGUGGCGAAGGCGGCCUUCUGGACAGUGACUGACGCUGAAACGCGAAAGCGUGGGGAGCAAACAGGAUUAGAUACCCGAGUAGUC
rnacentral:rRNA from 1 species